AUUGAACGCUGGCGGCAUGCUUUACACAUGCAAGUCGAACGGUAACAGGUUAAGCUGACGAGUGGCGAACGGGUGAGUAAUGCAUCGGAACGUGCCCGGUCGUGGGGGAUAACGCAGCGAAAGCUGCGCUAAUACCGCAUACGAUCUGAAGAUGAAAGCGGGGGACCGUAAGGCCUCGCGCGAUCGGAGCGGCCGAUGUCAGAUUAGGUAGUUGGGGGGGUAAAGGCUCACCAAGCCGACGAUCUGUAGCUGGUCUGAGAGGACGACCAGCCACACUGGGACUGAGACACGGCCCAGACUCCUACGGGAGGCAGCAGUGGGGAAUUUUGGACAAUGGGCGCAAGCCUGAUCCAGCAAUGCCGCGUGCAGGAAGAAGGCCUUCGGGUUGUAAACUGCUUUUGUACGGAGCGAAAAGGCUCUCUCUAAUACAGGGGGCUCAUGACGGUACCGUAAGAAUAAGCACCGGCUAACUACGUGCCAGCCGCCGCAGUAA
rnacentral:rRNA from 1 species